CGGGGCUGGCCUGCCGAGGAAGAGCUGAUCUCUGGCCACUGGGCCAGCGAGGCGGGCCUCCAGUGCCCUCAUCCCUCCAUCUACGAUUCCAGAAAAGGGCCAGGAAGCCAAACAAGUCAGCUCGUGGCAAGUUCACUAAAAGGAUCCGUGAGGCCACAGCCAUCUGCAGCUCCUUCCCCCGCCCGAAGUAAAAAGGCCAGUGGGAGGAGUCAGGCCUGGGAGAGUGUGUGUCGGUCUCCGUGGCCCAGUCCUUCUGGACACAGGCACCACCUUCAUUCCUUGGAAAUAACUUGGAUCCACGUCAAACAUCUUAACUAACCACACGCCUGCUGCGUGUUUCACUCUGCAGUGGGCGGGGCCAGCCCGGAGCCGCCCCCGGCCCAGGACACGCCUUUCUUGUGAAAGGCCGGUGAGUGUCUCUCCUCCGGGCGGCGCGCCUGGGGCGCAGGAAGCGGCGUGUCCUAUGUGCCAAGACCCGGCUGGCCUUGCCAGUGUCCUCCGCGUGGUUUUCUGCUGAGAAAUCGAUGCAAGUCCCUGGCUGGGCAGAACCUUUGGACGGUUCCCCGGGAUCGGGCGGGCGCGGAGCCCGGCCCACCCGCGCCACGGAGGGAACGUGCACCCACGGCAGCCCAGACGCGUGAUAAGACUUGUCUGCGCAUCACCCGGGCCCGGAGCCUCUAAUUACACGUCUGGGGCCGCAGAGCCCGGGUGGCCAGCUCACAUGCCCCACGACCGGAGAUAUGGCUGGGGCCCGGUUCCCUGCCCGCACGCCCGCCGGGGGCGGCGCCCAGCCCGUGCGUCACGGCCAUCCACAUGAUAAUGACCACAUUCCAAAGACAACAAGAGUCCAUUUCACAGGCUGUUCUUUCUUUUCAGAGCAUUGCCACAGUUUUAUCUCCCCAUCAGCGUUCCCAGCCCUACCUUUUUGGAAAUUUCAUCUCAACUUUCCACCGGCUCCGCACUCGGUGCGGGCGUCCUGCCUGGCUCCGCGGCGGAGCUGCGCCCAGUGCCGCCUGGGCCGGCGAGGGGUCUGGUGUGAUGGGACUUGGGCGGAUUUAACCUGCUCACGGUGUGUAAUGAUUAACAGCCACCAAGUUAUCAAGAACGUGCCGUUUGCGGUGGAGGGAACGACAGCUGGGUGAUGUCAUCAUUUAAAGGAAAGGACGGCUGCCCGGAACCCGGGGAGAAAGCCACUGUCGCUGGGACCGAGCCCGCGAGGGACGUGGGGCCGGAGGCUGCCCGUGGGAGCCGCAGCGGCUGAGCCUGUCGGUAAUCAGCUGCGUGGGAGGGUUCAAGGACAGCAGCCAGGAACCUGCUGUUGUUUUUGUUUUCGAAGCUACACAUCCCACCUCCACCCCCCAAGCGGAGAGGACGCUGAAUCAGUGCAGAUGUUCCCUUGGCAAGAAUCCACACACUUGAACCUGAAGAAGUAGACUCCCGGUCAUCUGCUCCGAUAAGGAUCGCAUAGAGAAUGGGCUUAGGCUGAAGUGCUCGUUCUGAAACCCGCAGUGCCCGUCUGCAGACGGCUGCCCCUGGCGCGCAGUGUUCAUCGGUCGGACCCUGCGGAUCCGGCGCCUUCCCAAUCCCCAAGGACAGUUCUGGGCAGCUUUAGGGGCCAGAAGCGGCGUGACCCUCCACCGGCAUGCAUGCCAGUCGGCCCUGGCUUCACCCCCACCCAAAUGCCCAUUCCACCUCUGAACCUCACACUUCGUUCUGAAUCACACCCGAGUGCCACACCCUGAGCUGCACAGAAUCCGUGUGUGGCCGACUGAGAAGAAGCCGCUUCGGUUUUCCUGGGAUCGGUUAUCACCUCGCUGCUCCGCAACUGGCUUCAGGUGGGACAUUCACGGAACAGUUUAUGCCAAUUCGGGGGCUGCGUUUUCCACGCCUUGUCCGGUUACCAACGCUGAUGCGGGCAGGUCGUUUUCCUUAACUCUGAACCUCAGGCCAGACGAGCCGCCUGAUUCAGAGUGGGGCCGGCCUGCUGGUGUGCAGGUCACAGCCAGCGACGUGACUGGCAGAGCUACCGGGAGCCCAUCGGCCGUAGCCUCCCGCAUGUGGGCCCCUGCCGCCCGGCCAAGUAUGUCCUGAAACUCAGAAUCAAUCUAUAAGGAAAGAAAGCAAAGAAAUGCCUGGGCGCCUGGGACCCUUGCGGGAAUUCAUGAAGGCACAGAGCAGGCAGGUGGUUUGAUGGAGAAAUUGCAUCAAAGGAAGAGGCUGGCAUAGUCACGGAGAUGCCUUCUGCGAACGCCGUUCCAGAGUUCUGAGAAAGCUGUUUAUGGAAAUGGAACAGGACACAGCCUGGGGCGGCGGUCACGUGACUACCUGGAGACCCAUUCAGAGCGUCACUCCCCCCCUCCCCCCCCAGGCUGCCUCCCUGGGCUGUGCCUGCGGCCAGAGCGCUGGGGCCCGAGACCCAGCAAGGCCCCGGGUGGCAGGAAGCUGCCAGGUGAGAGGGAGAGUCCCCGACUCGAGGGCACUCUGGCCAGAAGCAAGGUCCUUCCUCUGCCAGCCUCUUGGGGAUUUUGAAACACGGAUAUGGGCACAAAAUUUUAUAUCACAAAACAUUUGAGGAAAACGACCAAGAAAAGCAAAACACUCAAUAAACACAGACAAGCACCCCUGGGAACAUUUCACAGACAGAUGUCCCAGUGGAACUCAAAGCCCUCGCGGGGGCUCGGAUGGUUGGAACGUCAUCCUUAUAGAUUGCGGGUUCGACCCCCGCCCGGAGCACAUACAAGGACCAAGCAAUGAAUGUCUAAGAAGGAACUGAGCCCGAGUAGCAGCGGCCCCUGCGACUUCAUCCGGGGACACAGGUUCUCGCCGUCACAUCCAACUUCCUGCCGAAGCCGCGGAACGUCACUUACGCUCCUCGCUGUUCAAAUGGUGGCGGCCAUUAGUCCAGUGGCUGCAUGUGACCACUUACUGGAAGGGGGACAACGGAUGGCUUUACCAUAAACUUGGGUUUUUCUAAUAUUUUGAAAACCACCUUCCAAUACCACUGGUUUCCCUGUAACCCUCUGCAUUGUAUUUUAUCUCUUAAAAUGCUACUCGAAGGCAUCCAGAGGCUUCCCUCCUGUGGCAAAGGGUCCGUGAAACAAGCAUGGUUAAGAACCCUGAAAUGCCCCGGCCGGCUUGGCUCCCGGAUACAGCGUCGGCCUGCAGACUGGAGGGUCCCGGGUUCGAUCCUGGUCAAGGGCACGUGCCUCGGUUGCAGGUUCAACCCCUCACAGGGGCCGUGUAGGAGGCAGCUGAUCAAUGAUGUUCUUCUCUCAUCGAUGUUUCUCUCUCUCUCCCUCUCUCUUCCUCUCU